UACGUAGGGUGCGAGCGUUAAUCGGAAUUACUGGGCGUAAAGCGUGCGCAGGCGGUUUUGUAAGCCAGAUGUGAAAUCCCCGGGCUCAACCUGGGAAUGGCAUUUGGGACUGCAAGGCUGGAGUUUGGCAGAGGAGACUGGAAUUCCUGGUGUAGCAGUGAAAUGCGUAGAUAUCAGGAGGAAUACCGAUGGCGAAGGCAGGUCUCUGGGCUAUAACUGACGCUGAGGAGCGAAAGCGUGGGGAGCGAACAGG
rnacentral:rRNA from 1 species